CAAAUGCAGAUUUCUGGACCCAUCGGUCUUCCAUCUUCUAGAACCAUCCGUCUUACAUCUUUCGUCUUUCACACUCCAAACAACAGAUUUCCAACUCAUUUUCCAAGCACCCUUCAUUUCAUCCCUUUUGUUCCAACUUCAGUAAAUCGAUUCACAAGUUUUCAUAAUUCCAGUGAUGAUGAUGCAGGGCUACAAAAACAGAAGUCUCCAAAUUCGGAUGGUCAGCUAGAUGCUUAAGUAACAAGGGAAACCUAAUAUCACUGGAAGUUGCUUUUGAAGCUUUUGCCAGUGUAGUUUCUUAAUCUUUCAUAAAGAUUAUCUUUGGAAUUGCAAUAUCCUUUAAUAAUACAGAAGGCAUAUAAUAUAUACAUACAUCUGGCCUAAGUGUUUUACCAUCGUCUUCCACUGCAAGUGUCUUUGUAAUCUAGAGCAAAGAUGGUUGUGCCAAGUUCAAGAAGUGCACUUCAAUUGAACAAUAACAUUCUACGGACUACUUCAAUUGGAUAAAUCUCGAGCUACAUGUGUCAGAUAGAAAUAGUUUCAUAUCAUGACGGACAUGCAUUCAGUUUUUAGCUUUUUAGUUUUUGUAAACAUGUUUGUAAUUACGAUCCAAGUAUGAGUAAUGAAGAUAAUGUUUGCAUGUACCACUAAAAUAACUUGGGUACAUAAUCA